CCUACGCGAGGCAGCAGUGAGGAAUAUUGGUCAAUGGCCGCAGGGCUGAACCAGCCAAGUCGCGUGAGGGAUGACGGUCCUAUGGAUUGUAAACCUCUUUUGUCAGGGAGCAAAGGGCUCCACGUGUGGCGAUUUUCGAGUACCUGAAGAAAAAGCAUCGGCUAACUCCGUGCCAGCAGCCGCGGUAAUACGGAGGAUGCGAGCGUUAUCCGGAUUUCUUGGGUUUAAAGGGUGCGCAGGCUGGAUGUUAAGUCAGCGGGUAAAUUUUGGGGCUCAACCCCGGUGUUGCCUUGGAACCUGGCAGUCUUGAGUGAGUUAGAGGUAGGCGGAAUGCGUGGUGUAGCGGUGAAAGGCAUAGAUAGCACGCAGAACUCCGAUUGCGAAGGCAGCAUA
rnacentral:rRNA from 1 species